AGGUCAAUAUGGGUGUCUGUCAGCUGCUGGGAAUCAAAAGGAGUUUGUGUGCACCAUACCACCCACAUACCAAUGGUCUAGUUGAAAGUCUGAAUGGCACAAUACAGAGGUCAUUAAGCAAGCUGGUGUGAAAGCAGCCACACAAGUGGGCUGAUUAUUUGGAGGGCACAAUGUUUGGUCUCCGCACCAAAAAACAAGUCACUACCAAGUAUUCUCCAUAUUACUUGAUGUUUGGCUGGGAGGCAAGGUAUCCAUCCGAGGUACCUGACAAAUAUGAGGCCAGUUUUUAACUUUGCUUUGUUUUACUUUUAAUUUAAGACUGAACUAUGCAACAUUUUAUUUAUAGAUCAAUGAAUCUGUGGAGGACAUUCUGUCUGAGGAGUGCAUCUCUGAAUGCAUUAAAAGGCAAGACCGGAUGUUCCAAACAGUCUGGGACAAUAUUAGUUGUCCCCAACAGAAGGACAUCAAAAGGAAGCUGGAACAGGGAUUGUCUUUAGACAUUAAGGUUGGUGACAGGGUUUUGCGGAGAAAUAUACGGAGCAGGCAGAGGAAGGAAGGCAAACUGGACCCAGACUUCAUUGGUCCAUACACUGUGACGAGUGGAGACGGUAAGUCUGUAGAUUUAAGGGUUGACAAAGGACAACCAUUUCCCAAAAUAAACAAGGACCAUUUAGUUCACUUUUUGGAGGAACAGGCUUGUCCUGCCACCCAGCCACCUGUCCGUGCCUCGACCUCCCAGCCAAACAAUCUGUAUGUAUUGUUCUGCUGACAUGCAUGUACAUCUUUAUAUGAAUGAAAGAAAUGUUAUUUUUAAUGUAGACAAAUGGAUUGGAAAUUAAUGUUUCUCUCACACACAGUAUUGCAAAAAAUAUGGGCCAAAAGAAAAGGUGGAGUAUUGUGCAGUAGAAUUGGCCCAUACAAAAUGUUCACAUGGGAUGUCAAUCGCCUCAGACCUGGAGAAAGGCUUGAAAGUGAAGUAAUCAAUGCAUAUCUGACUUUGCUGACCAAAAACUAUGCAGGCAAGGCAUAUGUCAUUGAUUCCUUUCUGGCGACAAACAUCUGGAAGGGCAAUGGCAGUUCUAUGAAGAGGAUAAAAAUUUCUGAAUUCUGCAAUUAAAUCUUUCAUGUCAUCAGAGAUCUAGUAUAAUGAAGUGUAACAGUAUUUUUAUGUAUCUGUACUGCAGCUGAAUCCAGAUGAAUAUAAUGUACUGAUUGGAUCCAUUAACACUCUGAGGUCUACUGCGGCGCCACAAACUCUUUAUUUUUCAAUCACUCCGUAAAGAGACUUAAAUUACUCUGCUGAUUUUGGACAUACAGAUAUGAUUUAUACAUCAUUUAAAACGUUAAAGUGUCUAUUUUUGUUCUGUCCACAACUAAUAAAAACAGAAUGUUGUGCUUUUCACAAGAUUAAGAAAAUAAAUAUGAUGCGCGUUUUGUUCUCUCUCCCUUGGUGAAGUCCUUUCUGAAACGCAUCAGAAAAAUGAACUGUAACUUAACAAAUACAUGUCAUAGAAACAAAAGAUAAAUGUCUACAAAAUGCUUGGAAUGUAUGUUUUUAAAUGAUGUAAGUGAGAUCGAAAAAAGAUAUUGUCAUUCAGUGUUAACUGUAUGAGAAGGAGGAGAGGUACCGUAUUUCCCCUGUUACAUGUUUAUCUGUAAUGAGAUGAGAUCACCACACCCCCGCGCCAUUGAAGUGAAUGAGCAGAAGCAUCCAUAUGCAUAACUUGUGCCUCCUGCAGUCAAUGGAUACGCAAAUCACAAUCCAGUCUCUCCAUUACUUGUUGUUUCA